rnacentral:rRNA from 1 species
CCCUAUGGGUUGUAAACUGCUUUUAUACAGGAAGAAACACUCCCUCGAGAAGGGAGCUUGACGGUACUGUAAGAAUAAGGACCGGCUAACUCCGUGCCAGCAGCCGCGGUAAUACGGAGGGUCCGAGCGUUAUCCGGAAUCAUUGGGUUUAAAGGGUCCGUAGGCGGGUAGUUAAGUCAGUGGUGAAAGUUUGCAGCUCAACUGUAAAAUUGCCAUUGAUACUGAUUAUCUUGAAUUAUUAUGAAGUGGUUAGAAUAAGUAGUGUAGCGGUGAAAUGCAUAGAUAUUACUUAGAAUACCAAUUGCGAAGGCAGAUCACUAAUAAUAUAUUGACGCUGAUGGACGAAAGCGUGGGGAGCGAACAGGGUUAGAUACCCUGGUAGUCCACGCCGUAAACGAUGGAUACUAGCUGUUCGGACUUCGGUCUGAGUGGCUAAGCGAAAGUGAUAAGUAUCCCACCUGGGGAGUACGUUCGCAAGAAUGAAACUCAAAUGAAUUGAC